rnacentral:lncRNA from 1 species
CUUUAAUACACUUUUUAGAGGAAUAAGUAAAUGAAUGAAGGAAUGUUAAAUUUGUGGGUCUUGAUAUUACUUGUAGAAAAGAAACUCAGCAUUUUCAGACAAUAGGGUAAUUAACUUCAGUUACACUGCAUUGAUUAGCUGCACUGAACAUCUUUCUACACUAGAUAGUAUUUCUUAGAUGGCAUUCACUCUGGGAUUUCUUGUCUGGCUGGUCAUGGAGAAUAAGAAUCAGCAACAUCUUUGUCUUUGAGUAUUACUAGAGGGCUUUUGGGCACCACUCACAGAGCCAAGGCACUCAC